GUGGUGUCCCCCAGGGGAGCAUGAAGGUAGGUGCCUGCUUAAAUGAGCUUCAUCGUUCACAUGCAACAUAUCAAGCUGAAAGUUUUAACAAUUUUUAUAUUUUUCCAUUUCAAACACCUCCUGUCGUGUGAACAUGGACCUCCAUAUUGCCUUAGAAAUACAUACUGUGAACCAUGAGCUUGAUACAUUGUAACAUAGAACAAAUAUUUGGAGAAGAUGAUUUUGGAAUACAGUGCAUAAUUGGUCACCGAAAGAUGUCGCCUGCAUAUGAACAGGGAAGCAAAU